UAAAUAAAUAAAAAAUCUUUUAAAAAAUAAAAUGAAACUUUUUAUUUUAAUUGUAGAUUCACUUGUAGUUGCCAGAAAUAAUAAAGAGGUACUGUGUAUCCUCUACCCAGUUUUCCCCAGCAUCUUGCAAAGCUGCAGGGAAGUAUCACAGUCCGCAUGCCGAUGUCGGUCUGGUGGAGAGAGAGCAUUGCCAUCACCCUGAGGACCUCUAGUUGCCCUUUUUGGUCACCCCCACUUCCCUCCUAGUCACACCCCUCCUGAAAGCCUGGGAGCCACUACUCUGUUUUUUAGGUUCAUAAUUUUGUCAUUUUGAGAAUGUGAUAUAAAUGGAAUCAGAUGGUAUAUAACUUGUUGGGAUUGCUUUUUUCACCUAGUGUAAUUCUCCGGAGAGUCAUCCAAGUUGUUUCACGUGUCAAUAGUUUGUUUCAUUUUAUUGCUGAAUAACAUUCCAUGGGAUGGAUGGGCACUACACUGGGUUUAACCAUUCAUCUGUUGAGGGACAUCUGUGUUGUUUCCAGUUUCUGGCUAUUAUGCAUAAAGCUGCUGUAAACAUUCAGAUUUUUGUGUGAACACAGGUUUUGAGUUCUCUGGGAUAAAUGCCCGGGAGAGCAAUUGCUGGGUCAUAUGGUAGUUGCAUAUUUAGUUUUUUGAGAAAUCACCAAACUUUUCUGGCAUGGCUUUCCUAUUUUACAUUACCACUAGUAAUAUAUGAGUGAUCUAGUUUCUUUGCAUCCUCACCAGCAUUUGGUAUUGUCAUUAUUUUUUAUUUUAGUCAUUCUGAUAGCUGAGCAGUGAUAUCUCAUUGUGGUUUUAUUUUGCAUUUCCCUAAUGGCUCAUGCCUUUUCAUGUGCUUAUUUGCCAUCUGUACACAGCAGGUCCUGGAAUAAGGUUUUGUUUAUCAUUGUAAUGUUGUAGGAACUUAACUCUUGUUUAUAUCAUACAGCCUGUGGUGAAUUUGGUUUAGUUACACUUUGUUUCACUUAAGGUUGCAAAACCUAUUGGUAACUGAUGAGUGGGGAUGAGGAGUUAGUGUAUUCUCUUAGGUGAAAUGUCUCUUUGAGACUUUUGCCUGUGUUCUAAUUGGGUGGUUUUCUUCCCUUUUGAGUUUCAGAGUUAUUUAUGUAUAUUAGGUACUAGUCCUUUGUUGGAUAUGGGGCUUAAUAAUAUUUCUCCCACUCUGUAGCUUGUCUUUUCAUCCUUACGGGAAGGUCCUUCAUGGAGCAAAAGUUUUUAAUUUUGAUGAAACCCAGUUAUGAAUUUUUCCUCUUAUGUAUUUUGUCUUUGGUGUCAGGUCUAAGAACUUCCCUAGUUCCCUAGUGCUGGAUUCCAAAGAUUUUCCCCUGUCUUUUUCUAAAAACUUUGUAGUUUUCCCUUUUACAUUUAAGUUUGUGACCCAUUUUUUAUUUUUAUAUAAUUAUGAGAACUUAGGUCAAGGUUCACUUAGCUUGUUGAUAUGAUUGAUUACAUUGAUUAAUUUUGAGUAUUGAACCAUCUUGUAUCCCUGGAAUAAACCUUACUGUUCAUAGAACAUCAUUCUUUCUAUAUAUUGCUGAUUUCUGUAUGCUAGUAUUUUGUUAAUGUUUAUAUCCAUGCUAUAAAAGGUAUCAGUCUUUAGUUUUCUUUUUCUGCAGUACCUUUAGUUUUGGUAUCAAGAUGCUAAUGUUAGGUUCAUAAAAUGAGUUGAGGAGUGUUCCCUCUUUUUCUGUUGCCUGGAGGAGAUUAUAUAGAAUUGGUGUUAAUUCUUCUUUAAACAAUUCUCUAGUGAACCAUUUGGGUCAAGAGCUUUCUUUGGGGGGAGUUUUAAAAUUAAGAAUUUAAUUUCCUUAGUAGUUAUAGGACUACUUAAAUAAUG